GAAUUUUUUUUUUUUACCCUAUCUCCUUCUCAUCUCUCUCGUCUUUUUCCGAGGACAAACUGUUUUGAAGCGGAGGAGAAAGUCUGAGUAGGAAAUGGCUCUGAAGUUUCUGAACGAGAAAUCUGUGAACAAGGGUGAUGCUUCUGCUGUUGUUAAGUUGUAGAGCGCUAUCAAAUUCAAUGGCAAAGGUCAUUUGAACCACUCUUAUCAAGCUGAAGGUGCUGAUGUGCAAGGAUCAGGAUGGGUGGUCAUGGUUCGGUCUAGACAAAGAACUGAAGAAGCUUGUGGUUGACACAACUGCCAAUCAAGUAAAUUAUCUAUGAUCUAUAAUGCGAUAUCUUUACAUUGGUGUGAAGUGAUUGGUUUUGUUAACCUUUGAACGACAUUGUUUGCUUUGGGCUCCAAAAUACCUACCAAAGUUGUACCACCACCGAGUACUGGUAAGUCUGAAUGUUGCUGUGAUGUCCGGUUUCCGUUUGGUUUGGUGUCCUUUGGAAAGAAUUGAUCAUCGAGGACAUGAGUGGUCUUGAUCACUUGUGUUUUGGGGAUUUGCUGGCCUUAGCCAACACUGCAUCACUCUGUUUCUCCGGUCAGAUCCCAAAACCUACAAGUAAGAGAGGACUUUUGAUUCUGAUUGAAUUAGAAAUGAAAUUGCUUAGUCAAAUAUGAAAGAUGGACUGAGAGAUAGCUACUUGUCUCUGGUUAUGUAUUUUAAUAUUGGCACAAAUCAAUAUUAAAAUUAAUCAUUUAGUAAUCUAUUUUUAAUAUGCUUUUAUGUAAUGUUUGUUUAAACUUUUAUUGAAUGCAAUAUUUGUAAGUUUUUCAAAAGUAUACAAGUCUUAUGAA